rnacentral:lncRNA from 1 species
CAAAUUUACAGCUGUCACAAGACACAGUUAAUAAGUCCAGAGAAAUAAUUUUCCAAUUUUUCCCUUUUUCUUUAUUCUAUUCAUUCUGUCAUACACAAGAAAAAUAAAACUUAUAAAUUAGACUUGUCUCCAAUAACAAACUCUGAUCAUAAACUAAAAAUCCUAUAUCUAUUUUCUCACUGAAUUAAAACUAAAUUUUGAUUGAUCUAAGCCAGCUGACUAGAUUCAUUAGAGUUUCAG